rnacentral:lncRNA from 1 species
GUAAAAGUAAAUAGAAAUCUAUGAAAUUUAACCACAAGGUUUAUGACCAUAAAAGGAAGGUUGGGAUUGAUUUUGGAUGUUUUGGUCCCAACAGUUUAGGAAUAAGGGGCCAAAAAGGGCCCAAAUAAGCAUUUUUCUUGGUUUUCGCACAAUAACUUUAGUAUAAGUAAACAGAAAUCUAUGAAAUUUUAACGUAAGGUCUAUGACCACAAAAGGAAGGUUGGGUUUGAUUUUGGAAGUUUUGGUCCAAACAGUUCAGGAAAUAAGGG